AUUCAUUUAAUAUAAAAAGUAUACUUAGCUUCCAACUAAAAAGUUUAAAAAAUUAAAAUGAAUA
rnacentral:tRNA from 1 species